CACAACAGAAUUACAACAAAUGACGCGGAAUAGUUUUGUGUCAUCUGCAAAUUUCAGGAUGUUAGCAGCAGUAUGAUACGCAUUCAUCCUGUCCCGAAAAAGAGGGUCAGAAUGAGUGCGUAUCAUGCUUACUCCUUCAUUUGGUCGUUACUACCUGCCCGCUGUUGCCCUGAAAGAGGGACACGAUGAGUGCGUAUCAUGCUUACUCCUUCAUUUGUUCGUUAGUACCUGCCUGCUGCAGUUGGGUACCAAUGACUGGGUGCUCCCUCUCUCUUUGACUUUCUCUCUGCCCCAGGUUUCUUAUGUAGCGGGACAGCCUAAGGGUGUUGGUCUGGUUCACGCCUGCCUUCUGCUGCUGCGCAUCAUCGCGAUCAUCUUUCUUUCGCUCUUUUGGAAGAGGAGGACAGGAUCCGGGCUGGUGUUUUUUUCUUCCUCGCUCUUUUGGAACACCAAUAGUGUGUAGUUCCUAGUGGUGGGGCGAGUCCGUUAAAAGUCGGACUCAUACGAGUCCGUUGAUUUGAUGACGAAUCGAGCCCCCUGCUGGACUUGAGUCUAUUAGUAGAGUCAGUUCAAGCAAAAAGACUCGUCUUGCGAAAUCUGAAGAAAAAGAAUCAAUAUUUUUGAUUGACAAGUCCGGACUCGAUUUCGGCCAAUUUCUCUAAAAUCGAGUAAAAGUCUCGAGUGCUUUCAGGCUCGAGUCCGGACUCGCCCCAACAAUAGCACCCAACAAUAGCAGUUCCCUACUCUCUCUCUCUCUUUCUCUUUUUUUCUUUCUCUCGAAGCUUGUUUCGUAGAGAUUUAGACCGGGGUAUGUCGCUCAGGAUCCUCUCCAUAAGAAUGUUAUUGUUAUGAGGUUACCAUGGGGUCAAUGAACUAUGAUGUUUGGAAGCGCCUGUAAGAGUUGGAUGACCAAUGACGCUUCAUCCCCUUUCAUCAGUCACAUAAACCUUUUGAACUGACUGGUUGGGCAAAUACUUUGGCUAUUCUUCAAUCAUGGAAUCGUUCAUAGACCGUGCUCAAACUGAGCCUACUGUUGGUUUUGUGGAUUCAUUUUUGCACAAAUUGCCCCGUGAUUCUCGGUUUUCUCAAAGUCGAAUUAUUCCUAUAUAUUCAGCGAAUGCUCUAACUUCAAACCAAGACCAACUGACUUUUGUGAUACCAAAACAAACCGGUGGCAACACAAUUCAUUUGGCCAAUAUUAUAGUGGAGGUAGUAUAUUGCAACCAAUGCAUCAUGAAUGGUUUUGUUGCUUUUGGCAGGCUGGAAUUAAGCUCACAACUGCCUCUAGAAAUCCACCCAACAACUUCGAAACUGGUGGACCUGGAAUUGUAGCUAACAUUCUUCCCAGGUAAAGUUUAUGGUUCUCACCCCUAUGGAUUCAAUUAUUCAUUUUUAUACUUAUCCUUUUCUUUUACAGCAUGUUCAAGGAGGUCAGGUUGAUUGUAAACGGAACCCUUUUGAAUCCUCAGAGCGACAAUUGUCAGUUUGUCUCUUACUUGUCUUCAACAUUGUCUUACGGUAACGACGCUAAAAUGAACCAAAAGUGCAUGGAGGGCUAUUACCAGGCCAGGAUGAUCUCUCUGGCGGUGUGCAAUCAAAUGAUAUAAAUAACGCAGGCUUCAUGGAAAGACGUCAACGAUUUUUAACUAAAUCGAUUCCUCAAACAUAUAAAGCAUAUCCCUCAAUUUUUAUGGGCCAACUACAAACCGGCAUUUUUUCAAUGAGGAAGGCAUGCUACCUGAUGGCUGUGAUGUUACAAUCAUUUUUACCCAGACAAGCAUUUCCGUCCCACAUAGGAAAUGUGUGUUUAUGUGUGAUUUAAUGCUUUUUUCUACUUAGCUAAUGAAUUUCGAGCCUUUACCUCUGACGAGACGGAUGAUAUUGUGGUGACAUUGGUCUCACUCAAGCUGCAUGUAAAAAUAUCUGCCCUCAUGGUAAGCAUUGCUUUCAAUAUUUAGGUGUGGGCAAAAAGAGGACAGUUCUUACUUCAACUUUUUUUCACUUGUCCGUUCUUUUCAGCCCGAAUUGGUGAAUAAACUGGAAGAAAAAAUGAAGCGCGACAAUGCCAGACACUAUGCCAAACGUUUCACGACCACAUCUUCAAUUAUUGGGAAGAAUUCCGCAAUUUUUUGUAGUGAUAGUUUGUUCUCGAGGCACUCAAAUCCUCAAAAGAUCUACGUCUUUUUCAUUGAAGGUGAUAACUUUGUUGGAAGGAGAACAAAAAAUCCUUACAAGUUCUCCCGCAAAUGGCCGGCUGCGUCAGCUUUGACCACAACCAGAACAGACGGCAGACGGGAAGGGGCCAAUGAGCCUACAUCAACUGCAUUCAUCAAGGGUAUUCGGAUGACUAUCAAUGGUAAGUGCCGUGAUGGCAGGAGUGAGUUACAACCCUUGAUUUUGGGCCAUUGUCGUCUGCAGGUUCGCCCAUUGAUUCAAUGACGACCAAAGGGAGCGAGGAUGAUGAUGAGAUCGCGUUUGCCCGGUGGCAAAUUUUCAACACAUUUUUAGCUUCGCCUUUUACAUCCGGGAUAAGUUAUGAAGAUUUUAUGAAUGGAUGUUACGUUUGGUGUGCGGAUAUAAGGAAUGGGUUUAUAAUUUGUCAACUCAAAGCUAAAGCUGGUCAAUCAAUCUUCGAUUGUUCGAAGUGUUCAAAGGAAUUCAAUCUUCAUCUUUUGUGUUGCUUUUCAGUACCAGUCUCGAGAGCAAUUUUGACUACCUAAUUCCAACAGUCUUAGAUGGUAAGAAACGGUUAGAGGUUGAAUUCUCAGCUCCACUCGGUAAGUUGAUUUUACGGUACACACAAACGUACGUACGUGCACAUCCCUUCCAACAGCCAUCGCUUCUAAUCCACCUGGUCUCUCUCUCUCUCUCAUUUUCUCUCCAGGUGUAGAGCUAGUUAUGCUCACCAUUGGUAAGUAUUUAAUAAUGUGGGAAUCAUACUAUCUUCUACAAGUUUCUCCAAUUUCAUUUUUAUAGGUCAACACCCCAGCCUCAUCGAGAUUGGACGUGAUCGAUCCAUUUCGUUGUCUUAUCCCGUAUAAGAAGAAAACAACGACAAUUGACAAACGGGAAUUUAGUAAAAACACAUGAUUUUACAUGAUCUUCGUGGUUUUUAUUUAAUCGAUGUAAAACAAUCAGCAGUAGA